rnacentral:lncRNA from 1 species
GCUGGGCACCAGGGCUGUAGCGACAGCUACGGUGUUUUCUCAGCGCCUGGGAACAGAUGGCCCCAGCUCCCACCCACGGAAGCCAAACAUUUUCCCUGGCUCAUUCGCUCAGAAGCCUGCUCUUGUAAAUAGAGAGUAGAAGAGCUUUCUCAAGCCGCGUGCGUGUGUGGCUCACAUAGACCUGACACCACGAGAAGUCUGGGAGGGAGCACAGACAGACUCGGACGCCUUAGGACUCUGUCCAUGGUGCUGGAGUUCCGGCCGGGCCGCACAGGAGUUGCUCCUCAGGUCCCAGGCAGCAGCUCAGGCAGGUCAGUCCCUCCGCAAAUCCGCAGGGGACACUUCUCCCCGAGGCCAGGUUUUGAUCCCUCUGAUUUGGUGUACCCAAAGGGAGCCCAGACGCUCCAAGUUCUGGGUUGCUAUGAGGAUACAUGUGGCUAAUUGUUUCAGGGAUGUGUCACUGUGUUUUAUUAUAAAACACCCACCAUCUCCCUCGCUUCCCCUUUUUACCAGCUGGCUUCUUGUCAUCUGUGAUCUAUGAAAGCAUUCUCUGAGCACCACAGUCCCUGAGAACAAGAGCAGGUGUCAGUAUGAAGGCCACACCCACACGGGCUCACUGUGACCAUAGCAAUGGUCCCCCCUCUCUCCCUCACAGUGUCCUGAGCAGGCCUCCUACCCAGGCUUCUGGCUGCUUGUGGGUUGAUGGGAAAGAUCCUAAUGGCCUUAAGCUAAUAAGUUGGGAAUAAAUUGGGUUUGUGUCCACAGAAAGCAGCCGGCGGGGGAGGGGACCUGAAAGGACUUGAGGGUGAUGGGGGUACCCUAGGGUGGCUGGUUCUCUCUCUCUCUCUCUCUCUCUCUCUCUCUCUCUCUCUCUCUCUCUCUCUCUCUCACAUCUUUGAAACUGCAUUCACUUGAUCUGGGGAGCAUACACUUGGGGAAGUCAGAAGACAACAUCAGGAGUCAGACUUCUUUUUGCACUGUGUGGGUGCUGGAAUUGAACUCAGGUCACCAGGCUUGAAGUCAGCACCUUUACCCACUGAGCCAUCUCAGCCUCCCUCCGCUACCGUUUUAUUAUGAAAAUGUUAAGCAUAAGUGAAAGCGACAAGAGUUGCCAUGGGUGCUCACAGUCUAUUCUGUCUCUUCUCUCAACCAUCAACCCACCUCCCCAUUGCACAGCCAGCCUCGGGCCCAACUUACAUUAAAUGGAUUUCAAAGGCUCAGGCCUACCAUCCCUGUACUUAAGAGUCUGAUGCAAGAAGAUUGCAAGUUCAAGGUUAACCUUGGCUAAAUGUUGAAACCGUCAGGGAAAAAAGUAGAAAGAAGGAAGGGAAAAAAGAAAGGAGGGAGAGAUGGGAGAGAGAGACAGAGAGAGAACAAUUGCAGAUGUGAAGGUGCUAAAUAUUACUGUGAACUGGACUGUUCUCUCAUGUGUGUCUGUGUUUAUUUGUGUGCAUGCAUGUGUACAUGUAUGUAUGCAUGCAUGCAUGCAUGCGUGUGUGUGUAUGCAUGCAUGUAUGUGUUUAUGUGUGUAUGUAUGUAUGCAUG